CUGGCGCAUCUGGGGACUCUCGCGGCCUCAGGGCUGGAGGGGUGGGGGCUAGACCGUUGGCGUUGUCCGAGAAUGUGGCCUCGAAUCUUCAGUCAGCCAGAAUGAGUACAGGUGGAAACACCUGUGGUUAUUAAAGGCUCUGCUGACUGUUCAGCCUGCCUUCCUGUUAGACCUGUGCUCCCCAAUACAACAGCCGCCGAUCCUGUGGGUCCUGGGCUUGUAGCCGGCUCAAACCGAGAUGUGCGAAAGGAGUUUCGAUCACUCAGAGCAAUAGUAUUGACUAAGGAAUCAGGGAAGAUAAAAGUUGAACACUUGGAAAGAGAAGUUCCCAAAGCAGGUCCCAGGUCUGACUCAGCCCCAGGCAGUGACAAUACAAGCAGACAGCCUGGAGAGACCCUUUGUCUGUGGGAUGGAGACAAAGCGGCUGGAUGGAGGAGCUUCGCCUGGAGCCACAGAGCUGCCCUUGGGCCAUGUGAAGGGGACAUGAUGACAUAGUUCAAACUUAGCAGACACUGGAGGCAGUGACCAUGAAGUGGGACAUCUGGCCUCAUCCCUAACCCUGAACACCCCCUUCCUGUUCACUAGAAC